rnacentral:rRNA from 1 species
UACGUAGGUGGCGAGCGUUAUCCGGAUUUACUGGGUGUAAAGGGCGUGUAGGCGGCUCUGCAAGUCAGAUGUGAAAUUUCCGGGCUUAACCCGGACGGGUCAUCUGAAACUGCAGGACUUGAGUACUGGAGAGGAUAGCGGAAUUCCUAGUGUAGCGGUAAAAUGCGUAGAUAUUAGGAGGAACACCGGUGGCGAAGGCGGCUAUCUGGACAGUAACUGACGCUGAGGCGCGAAAGCGUGGGGAGCAAACAGGAUUAGAUACCCGGGUAGUCCCUGA